UACGGAGGGUGCAAGCGUUAAUCGGAAUUACUGGGCGUAAAGCGAGCGCAGACGGUUUGUUAAGCAGGAUGUGAAAUCCCCGGGCUCAACCUGGGAACUGCGUUCUGAACUGGCAGGCUAGAGUGUGUCAGAGGGGGGUAGAAUUCCACGUGUAGCAGUGAAAUGCGUAGAGAUGUGGAGGAAUACCGAUGGCGAAGGCAGCCCCCUGGGAUAACACUGACGUUCAUGCUCGAAAGCGUGGGUAGCAAACAGG
rnacentral:rRNA from 1 species